AAAUGGCCGCAGUAUUUUAACUGUGCAAAGGUAGCAUAAUCAUUAGUCUUUUAAUUGAAGGCUUGUAUGAAUGGUUGGACGAGAUAUUAACUGUUUCAUAAAAAUUGAGUUAGAAUUUUAUUUUUUAGUUAAAAAGCUAAAAUUUUUUUAAAAGACGAGAAGACCCUAUAGAUCUUUAUAUUUUGUAUACUAUAAUUAUUUAGAUUAUUUAAUUUAUGAUUAUAUAAAUUAUUUUGUUGGGGUGACAUUAAAAUUUAAUUAACUUUUAAUUUAUAGUUACAUUAAUUUAUGAAUUUUUGAUCCAUUAAUAAUGAUUAAAAAAUUAAGUUACCUUAGGGAUAACAGCGUAAUUUUUUUGAAGAGUUCAUAUCGAUAAAAAAGAUUGCGACCUCGAUGUUGGAUUAAGAUAUAAUUUUGGGUGCAGCAAUUCAAUUAUUAAGUC
rnacentral:rRNA from 1 species